CAAGACUAAUCUUCAUUGAAAGAGUGAUCAAUCGAGGAUGAUGACAGUGACGAUGUGCAUUCAUGGUAUCAUCGUCUCUAAAAGACAAACAGAAAACAUCUCCUCCCCUUCAGGACAAAGCCAAGGCUAACGGACUGCUUGGGGCUGAUAUUUCUUCAACGCAGCAGCCCCAGGGGAGCUGCUAGAGGGAACAUUGCUAAGGACCUAUCAUGGUCCAAACACACCAACACUGUCGUGA